GCUGCUUCCGUCGUCGAUGCCAUUGCCAUUGCGGCCGGCGGCAAUGGGUGAUUGUGGUUGCCCUCGUAUGUUGUUAUCAAGAUUGUUCUAUCAUCCGCGCAGCGUUGAACCUGAGAUUGAUCAUAAAAAAAAUAAACUAAAUUACCACCAUUCUUUGAA